rnacentral:misc_RNA from 1 species
CUUUUUUUUCCUUGUUGCUGAGGAAAUGGAAUAUGAAGCCAUUAUUUUAUGGCAGCUACCAUUUUAGCUCUAGCACAUGCUCUGCAACGUGAGAAGAUUAAAUACCAAACCAGUACCAGUACAUACUUUCCUAAAGGUUUACUGCUUUUCACCUUCUAGUUUGAACAAAAAAUUUUUCAAAUAUGUCAAGCUUACAAUCUUUCAUCAGAGUCCUCUUGCGUAAUCAAACAAGCAUCCAACGAGUGUCUCUUUUUUCUUUUACUUUUGCCUCGUAAGAGGGUAGGUUGAAAAAAGAGUAGUAGGAGUAGGUGGGUUUGACUGGCAGGUUUGGCAGUUGCCACUUGAAAGAAUUUGUUCACGUAUAUUGUUAACUGUCAAAGUUUUACUUAAGUAGUUGGCAUAUGUCCUUGAAUAUAUGCUCCCUAUAAAUUUUCAAGUGACCUGAACCCCAAUUCUCAGAACUCGGAACCAUAUAAUCUAUAGACUCCCUUGGCGUCGUCUCCUGCCAAAAUCUGGAACUUGGGUUAUUUCCAGUGGCACCACAGUGGUAGCGUAGACUGCUGAAUGAGGCCACCUGGCCCUGGAGGACCCGGACCAGGACCUGGACCUGGACCUGGCUGGGGUCCUCCAGGACCUGGUCUCCCUGGAGGUUUCUUCAAUGGCUUGUUCAGUGCGGUAUCAUCUUGCUUCUACAUCUUAUGCUGUUGCUGGCUGUUUCAAGACUGCUUUGGUGCCCCACCAGCACCUCCAGCUCCAGGUCCGCCUCUGGCUCCGGCUCCGGCUCCUGCUCCGGCUCCACCUCCUCCUCCUGUGCCUCUUGGACCACCUCCACCUCCACCUGGACCUCCUGGACCCCCGGGUGGCCCACCUGGUCCUCCAGGACCACCUCCUCCAUAAUCCCAUGACUCGAUCUAAUAUCUAACCACAUAAGAGGAGUCUGAAAUGAUUGCUAUCUUGGCUUAAAAGAUUGUUACUAGUUAUUGUUAAAGCCAUUAGAAAAGCUUGUUUGAUGUUUAUGCAAUAAUAUUACAUUGUGGAACAACCAACCAUAUAUAAUUACAAUCUACAAGGUGUCAUUAAGAAUAGCUAAUCAUUUGUUUUCACUAAUCCAGACAAG